AGAGAAAGAGAGACAGACAAACAGAGGGAACAUGUGCACACAUGAUGUUAUAUAAAGGCAAUAAGUGUACCAAGGAAGACCAAGAAAUGAAAUUUGAUGGAAAAAUUCUGAGAAGUUUGCUGCAGCUUCAUAGGUCAAACAGACCUGAAUUACAAGAAAUGUUAAAGGAAGUCCUUCCAGAGGAAGAAAACUGAUACCAGUACAAACCCAGUUCCAUACAAAUGAAUGAAGAAUGCCAGAAAUGGAAAAUAUGUGGGAAAAUACGAAAAAUGCUUUUCUGAUUUCUAUCCUUUCUUUUAAAAAAAUUACCUUUUAAAAGCAAAUGUAAUAACAGUGUAUGGUGGGGUUUAUAACAGUUUGAAGUAAAAUGUAGGAAAAUGGCACAAAGGUUGGCAUGGUAUAUAUUUAUACUUGGCUUAUUUCAAUUGCGUGCAGCCUUCUGUGUUCAUCUAGUAUUUUUAGUGGAUGAAAUCACAUGUAAAAUCAAAAGUCAAGGUAAUACUAAAAAUUUUUGUUAUCGUAUUAAAACAAGUUUGCAUUUUGGAAAACAAACAUUGUAGUAGAACUGACUGUAGUUCACCUAGUAUGACAAAAGUUUGCACCCAUGUUACCAUGAUGAAAAUCAAGAUACAGAAAAUUUCCAUCACCCCCAAAAGUUUACUUGUACACUUUGUACUGAUUCUUGCCUUCAGCUCCAAGCAACAAUAGAUUUGUGUUCUGUCACUAUAGUUUUGCUUGCUGUAGAAUUUCAUAUGGAUGGAUCAUACACUGUUAUGUAUAUGUUUUAAUAUUUUAAAAUUCAUCCACAUUGCUGCAUGUAUCAAAUAGAUCAUUCUCUAUUGCUGAAAUAUAUUCCAUUGUAUAGAUAUGCCAAAUGUAUUUAUCCAUUCAUUCACCUGUUGAUGGGUAUUUGUGUUGUUUCCGGUUUGUGGUUAUUAUGAAUAAAACUUCUCUGAACAU